rnacentral:miRNA from 1 species
GUAGGAGCUGGUGGUGGGCUUGGCAUAGGGGUACAUCGGGCCAGGCUAACCCCUUAUCCCCCACAG